rnacentral:rRNA from 1 species
UACGUAGGGUGCAAGCGUUGUCCGGAAUUAUUGGGCGUAAAGAGCUCGUAGGCGGUCUGUCGCGUCGGAUGUGGAAAUCCAGGGCUCAACCCUGGACCUGCAUUCGAUACGGGCAGACUAGAGUUCGGUAGGGGAGACUGGAAUUCCUGGUGUAGCGGUGAAAUGCGCAGAUAUCAGGAGGAACACCGGUGGCGAAGGCGGGUCUCUGGGCCGAAACUGACGCUGAGGAGCGAAAGCGUGGGGAGCGAACAGG